GAAGUUUUUGGAUUCGCAGUGGCAUGCAGACACAGGAGGGUGGUGGCUUACCUGAGGAAUGGGGAAACGCAGUGUGCAUGAGCGAAUACUUCUGUGAGGUUGCUCAUAUUGGGACAAGUCAAGAAGAUCAGCGAUUCACAAACCUAGUUCGUAUGUUUUGUAUUCAGACCCCUUCAGUACUUUGUAGAAGCUCCUUUGGCAGCAGUUACAGCUUUGAGUCUUCUUGGGUAAGUCUCUACAAGCUUUACACACCUUCAUUUGGGC